UUAUGGCUCAGGAUGAACGCUAGCGAUAGGCCUAACACAUGCAAGUCGAGGGGCAUCACAUGAAGUAGCAAUACGGAUGGUGGCGACCGGCGCACGGGUGAGUAACACGUAUGCAACCUGCCUUCAACAAGGGCAUAACCCGUUGAAAGACGGACUAAUUCCCUAUAACACAGGGGUCCCGCAUGGGAAUAUUUGUUAAAGAUUAAUCGGUUGAAGAUGGGCAUGCGUUCCAUUAGCUGGUUGGCGGGGUAACGGCCCACCAAGGCAACGAUGGAUAGGGGAACUGAGAGGUUUAUCCCCCACACUGGUACUGAGACACGGACCAGACUCCUACGGGAGGCAGCAGUGAGGAAUAUUGGUCAAUGGACGCAAGUCUGAACCAGCCACGUCCGCGUGAAGGAAGACGGCCCUACGGGUUGUAAACUUCUUUUGUAAGGGAAUAAAGUGGGCCACGUGUGGCUUUUUGCAUGUACCUUACGAAUAAGGAUCGGCUAACUCCGUGCCAGCAGCUGC
rnacentral:rRNA from 1 species